rnacentral:rRNA from 1 species
UACGAAGGGGGCUAGCGUUGCUCGGAAUCACUGGGCGUAAAGGGUGCGUAGGCGGGUCUUUAAGUCAGGGGUGAAAUCCUGGAGCUCAACUCCAGAACUGCCUUUGAUACUGAAGAUCUUGAGUUCGGGAGAGGUGAGUGGAACUGCGAGUGUAGAGGUGAAAUUCGUAGAUAUUCGCAAGAACACCAGUGGCGAAGGCGGCUCACUGGCCCGGUACUGACGCUGAGGAGCGAAAGCGUGGGGAGCGAACAGG